GAUGAACGCUGGCGGCGUGCCUAAUACAUGCAAGUCGAACGCUGAAGGAGGAGCUUGCUCUUCUGGAUGAGUUGCGAACGGGUGAGUAACGCGUAGGUAACCUGCCUGGUAGCGGGGGAUAACUAUUGGAAACGAUAGCUAAUACCGCAUGACAACAGUUAUUGCAUGAUAACUGUUUAAAAGGGGCAACUGCUCCACUACCAGAUGGACCUGCGUUGUAUUAGCUAGUUGGUGAGGUAACGGCUCACCAAGGCGACGAUACAUAGCCGACCUGAGAGGGUGAUCGGCCGCACUGGGACUGUGACACGGCCCAGACUCCUACGGGAGGCAGCAGUAGGGAAUCUUCGGCAAUGGACGGAAGUCUGACCGAGCAACGCCGCGGGAGUGAAGAAGGUUGUCGGAUCGUAAAGCUCUGUUGUAAGAGAAGAAAGAGUGUGAGAGUGGAAAGUUCACACUGUGACGGUAACUUACCAGAAAGGGACGGCUAACUACGUG
rnacentral:rRNA from 1 species